rfam:Sporothrix schenckii ATCC 58251 unplaced genomic scaffold supercont1.1, whole genome shotgun sequence.
GGCCGCUUGGCGCAAUGGUAGCGCGCGGUCCUCCUAUUUUGUCCCGUCCAUAGGGCAAAAUCCGGGGGGUUUAGACCGAGGUUGCGGGUUCGAGUCCCGUAGUGGUCG